AGCGCCAGCGAGAGAACGUUGCCACAGGCAACGGCCCGAAGGGCGAGGAGAGAUAUCGACGAGUUAUCCUUCCCCCACCACCA
rnacentral:sRNA from 1 species